CGUGUGGCCUAGCCAGGAUAUGGCGCUGGCCUUCUAAGCCAGCAGUCGUGGGUUCGAAUGCAUGAUGUGUA
rnacentral:tRNA from 1 species